UGUCCAGUAGCACCUUAGAGACCAACUAAGUUUGUUACGAAAGCUCAUACUAAGAACAAACUUACGUUGGUCUCUAAGGUGCUACUGGACA
rnacentral:miRNA from 1 species